rnacentral:rRNA from 1 species
GGUCCGAGUUGUAAUUUGUAGAGGAUGCUUUUGGUGAGGUGCCGCCCGAGUUCCCUGGAACGGGACGCCGCAGAGGGUGAGAGCCCCGUCUGGCUGGCCGCCGAACCUAUGUAAAGCUCCUUCGACGAGUCGAGUAGUUUGGGAAUGCUGCUCAAAAUGGGAGGUAUAUGUCUUCUAAAGCUAAAUAUUGGCCAGAGACCGAUAGCGCACAAGUAGAGUGAUCGAAAGAUGAAAAGCACCUUGAAAAGAGGGUUAAAUAGUACGUGAAAUUGUUGAAAGGGAAGCGCUUGUGACCAGACUUGGGCGCGGCGGAUCAUCCGGGGUUCUCCCCGGUGCACUUCGCCGUGUCCAGGCCAGCAUCAGUUCGUCGCGGGGGAAAAAGGCUUCGGGAACGUGGCUCCUCCGGGAGUGUUAUAGCCCGUUGCAUAAUACCCUGCGGUGGACUGAGGACCGCGCUUCGGCAAGGAUGCUGGCGUAAUGGUCACCAGCGACCCGUCUUGAAACACGGACCAAGGAGUCGUCUUCGUAUGCGAGUGUUCGGGUGUCAAACCCCUACGCGUAAUGAAAGUGAACGCAGGUGAGAGCUUCGGCGCAUCAUCGACCGAUCCUGAUGUUCUCGGAUGGAUUUGAGUAAGAGCAUACGGGGCCGGACCCGAAAGAAGGUGAACUAUGCCUGUAUAGGGUGAAGCCAGAGGAAACUC